rnacentral:rRNA from 1 species
GUGCCAGCAGCCGCGGUAAGACAGAGGGUGCAAACGUUGUUCGGAAUUACUGGGCGUAAAGCGCGUGUAGGCGGUUCGUAAAGUCAGGUGUGAAAGCCCUGGGCUUAACCCAGGAAGUGCACUUGAAACUCACGAACUCGAGUCCCGGAGAGGAAGGCGGAAUUCUCGGUGUAGAGGUGAAAUUCGUAGAUAUCGAGAGGAACAUCGGUGGCGAAGGCGGCCUUCUGGACGGUGACUGACGCUGAGACGCGAAAGCGUGGGGAGCAAACAGGAUUAGAAACCCCCGUAGUCC